rnacentral:tRNA from 1 species
GUAGCGCAGCUUGGUAGCGCACCGUCAUGGGGUGUCGGGGGUCGAAGGUUCAAAUCCUUUC